GAUGAACGCUGGCGGCGUGCCUAAUACAUGCAAGUCGAGCGAACAGAUGAGGAGCUUGCUCCUCUGACGUUAGCGGCGGACGGGUGAGUAACACGUGGAUAACCUACCUAUAAGACUGGGAUAACUUCGGGAAACCGGAGCUAAUACCGGAUAAUAUAUUGAACCGCAUGGUUCAAUAGUGAAAGACGGUCUUGCUGUCACUUAUAGAUGGAUCCGCGCCGCAUUAGCUAGUUGGUAAGGUAACGGCUUACCAAGGCAACGAUGCGUAGCCGACCUGAGAGGGUGAUUGGCCACACUGGAACUGAGACACGGUCCAGACUCCUACGGGAGGCAGCAGUAGGGAAUCUUCCGCAAUGGGCGAAAGCCUGACGGAGCAACGCCGCGUGAGUGAUGAAGGUCUUCGGAUCGUAAAACUCUGUUAUUAGGGAAGAACAAAUGUGUAAGUAACUAUGCACGUCUUGACGGUACCUAAUCAGAAAGCCACGGCUAACUACGUG
rnacentral:rRNA from 1 species